rnacentral:rRNA from 1 species
GAAAUUUCGGUUGUCGAUGGGGAUGCGUUCCAUUAGGCAGUUGGUGAGGUAACGGCUCACCAAACCUUCGAUGGAUAGGGGUUCUGAGAGGAAGGUCCCCCACAUUGGAACUGAGACACGGUCCAAACUCCUACGGGAGGCAGCAGUGAGGAAUAUUGGUCAAUGGACGGGAGUCUGAACCAGCCAAGUAGCGUGAAGGAUGACUGCCCUAUGGGUUGUAAACUUCUUUUAUACGGGAAUAAAGUGAUCCACGUGUGGAUUUUUGUAUGUACCGUAUGAAUAAGGAUCGGCUAACUCCGUGCCAGCAGCCGCGGUAAUACGGAGGAUCCGAGCGUUAUCCGGAUUUAUUGGGUUUAAAGGGAGCGUAGGUGGAUUGUUAAGUCAGUUGUGAAAGUUUGCGGCUCAACCGUAAAAUUGCAGUUGAUACAGGCAGUCUUGAGUACAGUAGAGGUGGGCGGAAUUCGUGGUGUAGCGGUGAAAUGCUUAGAUAUCACGAAGAACUCCGAUUGCGAAGGCAGCUCACUGGACUGCAACUGACACUGAUGCUCGAAAGUGUGGGUAUCAAACAGGAUUAGAUACCCUGGUAGUCCACACAGUAAACGAUGAAUACUCGCUGUUUGCGAUAUACGGUAAGCGGCCAAGCGAAAGCGUUAAGUAUUCCACCUGGGGAGUACGCCGGCAACGGUGAAACUCAAAGGAAUUGACGGGGGCCCGCACAAGCGGAGGAACAUGUGGUUUAAUUCGAUGAUACGCGAGGAACCUUACCCGGGCUUAAAUUGCAUUUGAAUAAUCUGGAAACAGUUUAGCCGUAAGGCAAAUGUGAAGGUGCUGCAUGGUUGUCGUCAGCUCGUGCCGUGAGGUGUCGGCUUAAGUGCCAUAACGAGCGCAACCCUUAUCUUCAGUUACUAACAGGUCAUGCUGAGGACUCUGGAGAGACUGCCGUCGUAAGAUGUGAGGAAGGUGGGGAUGACGUCAAAUCAGCACGGCCCUUACGUCCGGGGCUACACACGUGUUACAAUGGGGGGUACAGAAGGCAGCUACCUGGUGACAGGAUGCUAAUCCCAAAAACCUCUCUCAGUUCGGAUCGAAGUCUGCAACCCGACUUCGUGAAGCUGGAUUCGCUAGUAAUCGCGCAUCAGCCAUGGCGCGGUGAAUACGUUCCCGGGCCUUGCACA